rnacentral:rRNA from 1 species
GGGAAGGGAUAAGCGCUGAAAGCAUCUAAGUGCGAAGCCCACCUCAAGAUGAGAUUUCCCAUGAUUUUAUAUCAGUAAGAGCCCUGAGAGAUGAUCAGGUAGAUAGGUUAGGAGUGUAAUUGUGGUGACACAUUUAGCGGACUAAUACUAAUAGCUCGAGGACUUAUCCAAAA